rnacentral:rRNA from 1 species
UACUUAGUGGCAGACGGGUGAGUAACAUGUGGGUAUCUACCCUUUGGCCUGGAAUAACACGAGGAAACUUGUGCUAAUACCGGAUAAGUCUUUACGGAGAAAGCUUUAUGCACCAUUGGAUGAGCCCGCACUAGAUUAGUUUGUUGGUGGGGUAAUGGCCUACCAAGACUUUGAUCUAUAGCUGAUUUGAGAGGAUGAUCAGCCACAUUGGGACUGAGACACGGCCCAAACUCCUACGGGAGGCAGCAGUGGGGAAUCUUGCACAAUGGAGGAAACUCUGAUGCAGCGAUGCCGCGUGAGUGAAGAAGGCCCUUGGGUUGUAAAGCUCUUUCGUCGGGGAAGAAAAUGACUGUACCCGAAUAAGAAGGUCCGGCUAACUUCGUGCCAGCAGCCGCGGUAAUACGAAGGGACCUAGCGUAGUUCGGAAUUACUGGGCUUAAAGAGUUCGUAGGUGGUUGAAAAAGUUGGUGGUGAAAUCCCAGAGCUUAACUCUGGAACUGCCAUCAAAACUUUUCAGCUAGAGUAUGAUA